rnacentral:rRNA from 1 species
AUUGAACGCUGGCGGCAUGCUUUACACAUGCAAGUCGAACGGUAACAGGCCGCAAGGUGCUGACGAGUGGCGAACGGGUGAGUAAUGCAUCGGAACGUGCCCAGUCGUGGGGGAUAACGCAGCGAAAGCUGCGCUAAUACCGCAUACGAUCUCUGGAUGAAAGCGGGGGACCGAAAGGCCUCGCGCGAUUGGAGCGGCCGAUGUCAGAUUAGGUAGUUGGUGGGGUAAAGGCUCACCAAGCCAACGAUCUGUAGCUGGUCUGAGAGGACGACCAGCCACACUGGGACUGAGACACGGCCCAGACUCCUACGGGAGGCAGCAGUGGGGAAUUUUGGACAAUGGGCGCAAGCCUGAUCCAGCAAUGCCGCGUGCAGGAAGAAGGCCUUCGGGUUGUAAACUGCUUUUGUACGGAACGAAACGGUCCUGGUUAAUACCUGGGGCUAAUGACGGUACCGUAAGAAUAAGCACCGGCUAACUACGUGCCAGCCGCCGCGGUAAUAC